ACGAACGCUGGCGGCAUGCCUAACACAUGCAAGUCGAACGAGACCUUCGGGUCUAGUGGCGCACGGGUGCGUAACGCGUGGGAACCUGCCCUUAGGUUCGGAAUAACUCCCCGAAAGGGGUGCUAAUACCGGAUAAUGUCUUCGGACCAAAGAUUUAUCGCCUUUGGAUGGGCCCGCGUUGGAUUAGCUAGUUGGUAGGGUAAAAGCCUACCAAGGCGACGAUCCAUAGCUGGUCUGAGAGGAUGAUCAGCCACACUGGGACUGAGACACGGCCCAGACUCCUACGGGAGGCAGCAGUGGGGAAUAUUGGGCAAUGGGCGAAAGCCUGAUCCAGCAAUGCCGCGUGAGUGAUGAAGGCCUUAGGGUUGUAAAGCUCUUUUACCCGGGAUGAUAAUGACAGUACCGGGAGAAUAAGCUCCGGCUAACUCCGUG
rnacentral:rRNA from 1 species